UACGUAGGGUGCGAGCGUUGUCCGGAAUUAUUGGGCGUAAAGAGCUCGUAGGCGGCCUGUCGCGUCGGAUGUGAAAACCCGCGGCUUAACUGCGGGACUGCAGUCGAUACGGGCAGGCUAGAGUUCGGUAGGGGAGACUGGAAUUCCUGGUGUAGCGGUGAAAUGCGCAGAUAUCAGGAGGAACACCGGUGGCGAAGGCGGGUCUCUGGGCCGACACUGACGCUGAGGAGCGAAAGCGUGGGGAGCGAACAGG
rnacentral:rRNA from 1 species